GUUACUAUAUAAACUUCCAUGACUUUACCCUUCCUUAUGUCUACAAAGCCUCUAGGAUAUACAUGACAUAACUAGGGUCGGGACAAACCCCCGCCCACACGUGACUCAUGUACAAUAACAAAACAUAAGGAACCGACUCGGAAAGCUCCGAAGCAAACUGGAGCUCACCAACAAUAGCUGUAUGACCUGGCUCCUACUUGUGCGGUGUAUGAGUUGAGGUACCUGUGCCUGC
rnacentral:lncRNA from 1 species